UUGCACUGACAAGUGUCCCCUCUGUCUAUUCCAUGGCUGAGGGAUCGCUUAACGGUGCUAGAUCAAAUCCCUUCUUGGAGAUAGGACAAGUUACAAGAAUGUAACCUGUCCCUACUGAUAGUUGGGUACAAGC